rnacentral:rRNA from 3 species
GUGAGACAGGUGCUGCAUGGCUGUCGUCAGCUCGUGUUGUGAAAUGUUGGGUUAAGUCCCGCAACGAGCGCAACCCUUAUCCUUUGUUGCCAGCGGUUAGGCCGGGAACUCAAAGGAGACUGCCAGUGAUAAACUGGAGGAAGGUGGGGAUGACGUCAAGUCAUCAUGGCCCUUACGACCAGGGCUACACACGUGCUACAAUGGCGCAUACAAAGAGAAGCGACCU